rnacentral:lncRNA from 1 species
AUGUGUGGACUGCAUCGUCCGCAGCGUUCGUGUUCUCUUUUUCUUCUUUUUCCUUUUUCCCAGCACCUGGCUGGAAUGCCUUUGCUGGCUCGACGAGGCCGUCCGGCGCCGCGCUGUGCACGAGCGGGCGCGCGCGCUCGCUCUCUUCCUCGCUGCGAGCCCUGCGCUGGGAGACGCGAGCGGCUCAGAGAUCGCGAGCGGGGUCCGGCGACUGCGGCGCGCGCGCGCUCGUUCGCUUCUGCCUCUCGGCUGCGCGUCCGCCUUCUCAUUGCCGCCGAGAGGAGAGGCGCGCAUCGCGUCGGGACCGCCGGAGACGCCCCGAUUCCACGAUGCUGGGAAGCUGCUGACCACGGAGGAGGAUGUGUCUCUGGUAACAGCUGAGCAAAGACUGUGCGAUACCCACAGACCCAACUAUGCACAGGCCACGAAAUUCAGAGAAUUCAGCUGCCCGUAGACUUGAGUCAACUUGAACAUCUUUUCUUCUGAAAGAGAUGAAGGAUCUGCUGAAAUGUGCACCAGGAGAAAGACAGUUCACAGAUGCUAUGCAGGUCUCCGGCAAACCCCUCAGUCAUAUAGCCGUCAGAUAUCCGGAUUGAUUUCAUCAUGUAAUUUGGAUGAAGACAAAUGCAAAGCAUGGUGGUGCAGCGCAAAGAGUUGCUUUCUAAC